UUCUGCUGCCACAGAACAUCUGGAUUCUUACAGAGGAAGCUUCUCAAAGGGCAUGUAGUUAAUGUGGAAGAAACCUGGAGUCCCAUCUCCACGGCGACAGAAGCCCUAUUCAAGGAUCAGAAGGCUCAGAGAUGCACUGGUACCCCAUGAGGCAUCUGGAAAAAGGCAACUAACUUGUUUAUCUGAAUUCCUCAAAAGGAGAGCAGCGUGAUGAAAAAUGAAUGCCACCAAUUAUUACACAACAAUUAGGAACAUCAAAACCUGUACUUGUCCAAUUUUGAGACACAGAGGCUGAAACUGUGACAGUGGUCACCAUGCAGCAGGUGACCAGCUCAGUUCUCAGGUCAUCAAGAAAAUGAAGACAUUGCAGCCAGGUUCCUAACUUUGGCCUAAGUAUGAGUCACUAAAGGCACCUUGGUCAAGUUUCUAGUAUUGCCUUAGUGAUUAAAGUCAAGCCAUUUUAUGGCAAAUAAAGUCAGUAUCUG
rnacentral:lncRNA from 1 species